ACACCCUUGAACAAUCUGUUCUUAUCAGUUUAAUAUCUGAUAUGUCCCCCAUCGGGGGACUAUACAUAUUAAAUGGAUUUUUCGAACAGGGAGUCGGAAGCGGGGCUCGGUAUUGCAGUACCUCCGAGAACGGUGCACCCUCU
ensembl:snRNA U2 U2 spliceosomal RNA